AGUGGGAUAGCUGGGUCAAAUGGUGAUUCCACUCUAAAUUUUCCAAGAAAUCUCCAUACUGCUUUCCAGAUUGCUUGCACCAGUUUGCAGUCCUACCAGCAAU
rnacentral:pre_miRNA from 1 species